GUCAAAAUUAUGACUCUUCACGUUCCUUUCUCAUUCUCUCACUCUCGUCUCUCUCAUCUCUCGAACCAAACCUACGCCAGAAAUCGCUCCACCGCGCCGGAGGCGGCGGAGCACGGCCGAUCAUCCAACCUUCUUCCCUCAUCUUUUUCUCCCCGACCUCACAACUUUAGAUCUGCUCUUAGUUUUCUCCGAUUCCCUUUUCGUUCCCCUAAAUCUAAGCAAACCUAAAACCCUAGCAUUCUGAGAAGUGAAAUUAAACGAAACUAGCGAAGGAUACAGAUGCGGUACCAUGGGGGAAAUAAUCAGGGAACACAAAUCUACCACAUAGCAUCAAGAAAAGCAAAAAAGAGGAUGAAUAAGGGAGGAGGCGAGACCUACCUUCUGGAGAUGCUCCGGCGGUGAUCAGAAAGACGGAGACGAGGCUCUGAAAGCUCAGGUGCGAAAUAAACGGGAAGAGCGGCAAAGGAAGCUCCGAUUUCAGGGCAUAUAAGAGGCUCAAAAGGAGAUGGAAUGUGGAGCAUGGGGUUGUUGAGUGCAGGCUUGUAUGAAGUCAGAAAUCAUGCAGUAGGUUUUGUGGAGGAUUGAAGAAUGAAGGUUGAUGAAAUGGCUUGGUCACAAAGAGAACUUGAAGCAAAUUAAUGUUGAGUCACGAAUAUGCUGAACAGAAGGAAGAUAGGUCUAGGACAGGGUGUUGACUUUGGUCAACUGUUUGACCAAAAGUCAACUAGAAGUCAAAAUAAUUUUUGGGUGUAAUUUUCAACGUAGCUUGUAUGUAAUGGAUUUGGCCAAUGCUAAUGAAAUGUGGACUUUUCAUGACUUUUCUUGUGUAUUCCUUUUAUGUAGUAUAUGGAUUUUGUAAUGGAUUGGAACAUGAAAUAUGUAAUGCUUUUUUUUGUAAUGAAAUUUGUAUGAAGUGUAUGAAUGUUUAAGUA